rnacentral:lncRNA from 1 species
GCUGGGAACGAUCAGGAAGGGUAAACCCCUUUUUCUUCUCUAGUUCCUCAAAUCUUUAACAAAUUGAAGGUGUUUCUGGGUAUAAAUCGAAUGCAUGUGACCAAAUUCUCAACCAUCUAAGGGUUUCCUACAUAGGGGAAAAUGUUGAGUGAAAGAAGAAGGAGCUAAUUCCGGUUCGCAACAAAAGGCUCAAGAACCAGGAGUGAAAGAAGAAGGAGCUAAUUCCG